ACCGAGCGCAGUGGCACGUGCCUGUAGUCCCACCUACUCAGGAGGCUGAGAUGGGAAGAUCACUUGAGCCCAGGAGUUCUGGGCUGUAGUGCACUAUGCCGAUCGGGUGUCCGCACUAAGUUCGGCAUCAAUAUGGUGACCUCCCUGGAGUGGGGGACCACCAGGUUGCCUAAGGAGUGGUGAACCAGCCCAGGUCAGAAAGGGAGCAGAUCAAACUCCCGUGCUGAUCAGUAGUGGGAUGGCGCCUGUGAAUAGCCACUGCACUCCAGCCUGGCAACAUAGUGAGACCCCGUCUCUA
rnacentral:SRP_RNA from 1 species